UGGGGAAUAUUGGGCAAUGGGGGCAACCCUGACCCAGCGACGCCGCGUGGGGGAAGACGGCCUUCGGGUUGUAAACCUCUUUUGUACGGGAAGAAGGAAGUGACGGUACUGUACGAAUAAGUCCCGGCUAACUACGUGCCAGCAGCCGCGGUAAUACGUAGGGGACGAGCGUUGUCCGGAAUUACUGGGCGUAAAGGGCGCGCAGGCUGUGCUGCAAGUCAGCUGUUAAAUGUCUGGGCUUAACCCGGGCAUGCGGUUGAGACUGCGGUGCUGGAGUGCUGUAGAGGCAAGUGGAAUUCCCAGUGUAGCGGUGAAAUGCGUAGAUAUUGGGAAGAACACCGGUGGCGAAGGCGACUUGCUGGGCAGCAACUGACGCUGAGGCGCGAAAGCCAGGGGUGC
rnacentral:rRNA from 1 species